rnacentral:lncRNA from 1 species
GUCACAAAUACGAACGCAAUACGCAAUCGUUUAUGACGCUUGGAGCGCUCCAAUGUUCUUGCCGAAUUUUCCAAACUCACCAUUAAUGGGGGAAAUUCUGAACACAAAAUGUAAUAGGCCAGCUAGAUGAUGGUUUCCAUCGCCAAUAUGUUUGCUACCGCAAAUAAUGAUUUCAGCAACGGUGUGAAUGUCUCUUCUCGGCCUCCAUUCCUGGGUCUUGAUGUGGCAAUCCUUAUCAAGACCGUUGUGUUUUCAUUCUGCUCGGGCCUCAUACUGUGGUGCUUAUGGGAUCUAUGGAGAAGAAAGGAUGAAGACUUCGACGACACAGAUUUGUUGGCCGGUGGGUGAGACAGGGAUGCAGCUUAAGACCUACCCUCUUCAACAUAUACAGUCAGCUGAUUGUGGAGGCCAGGUCAUCUGAUGCAGCUCUCCAUCACUCUCCAUCUUGGUCAAAUAGGCCUUACACAGCCUGGAGGUGUGUUGGGUCAUGAUCCUGUUGAAAAACAAAUGAUAGUCCCACUAUUUUGCUCUUUUGCACCCCAGUAUUUCUACUUUGCACACUCAUCUACUGUCAAAUCUACCAUUCCAGUGUUUUAAUUGCUAUAUUGUAUUUACUGGUUAAGUGUGCCUUGAUAUUGAAAUAAAUCACAGAGAGUGUCACCAGCAAAGCACCAUCACACCUCCUCCUCCAUGCUUCAGGGUAAGAAUUACACAUGCUGAGAUCAUCUGUUCACCUACUGUGUGUCUCACAAAGACAUGGCAGUUGGAACAAAAAAUCUCAAAUUUGGUCUCAUCAGACCAAAGGACAGAUAUCCAC